AGGGCGUACGGGGGAUGCCUUGGCUCUCAGAGGCGAAGAAGGACGUGAUAAGCUGCGAAAAGCUGUGGGUAGGUGCAAAUAACCGAUUGAUCCGCAGAUAUCCGAAUGGGGCAACCCAACCAUAUUAGAUGGUUAUCCUGAUAAGGAGGCAAACCCACUGAACUGAAACAUCUAAGUAAGUGGAGGAAGAGAAAAUAAAAAUGAUUCCCUAAGUAGUGGCGAGCGAACGGGGAAGAGCCCAAACCGUACAUGUUUCGGCAUAUACGGGGUUGUAGGACUGAAAUAUCAGUGAAGAUCGAUUAGUUGAACUGUUUUGGGAAAGCAGGCCAUAGAGGGUGAAAGUCCCGUAAACGACAAUUGAUUUAACUGUAUCAGUAUCCUGAGUAGCGCGGGACCGGAGAAAUCCUGUGUGAAUCUGGCGGCACCAUCCGCCAAGGCUAAAUACUACUGAGAGACCGAUAGUGAACCAGUACCGUGAGGGAAAGGUGAAAAGUACCCCGAACAGGGGGGUGAAAUAGACCCUGAAACCGUACGCUUACAAGCGGUCGGAGCCAAUGAUAUUUGGUGACGGCGUGCCUUUUGCAUAAUGAGCCUACGAGUUGCAUCUUACUAGCAAGGUUAAUUGCUUAGAGGCAAGCAGCCGAAGCGAAAGCGAGUCUGAAUAGGGCGAUAUAGUUAGUAGGAGCAGACGCGAAACUUAGUGAUCUACCCAUGGCCAGGUUGAAGUUGUGGUAACACACAAUGGAGGACCGAACCGUUAAACGUUUAAAAGUUUUCGGAUGAGUUGUGGGUAGGGGUGAAAGGCUAAUCAAACUGAGAGAUAGCUCGUACUCCCCGAAAUGCCUUUAGGGGCAGCCUUAUUUUAGUAUAUUAGAGGUAGAGCUACUGAUUGGAUGCGGGGGUUUCACCGCCUACCAAAUCCAGACAAACUCCGAAUGCUAAUAUAUGAUUGAUAGGAGUGAGGGCAUGGGUGCUAAGGUCCAUGUCCGAGAGGGCAAGAACCCAGACUAUCGGCUAAGGUCCCAAAAUAUAUGCUAAGUUGACAAAACGAGGUUUAACUGCAGAGACAGCUAGGAUGUUGGCUUGGAAGCAGCCAUUCAUUUAAAGAGUGCGUAACAGCUCACUAGUCGAGCGGUUGAGCGUGGAUAAUAAUCGGGCAUAAAGCAUAUUACCGAAGCUGUAGAAUUAGAGAUAAUUGGUAGGGGAGCAUUCUAAUGGUGAAGAAGGUGAGUCGUGAGGCUUGCUGGAACGAUUAGAAAAGAAAAUGUAGGCAUAAGUAACGAUAAUGCGGGCGAGAAACCCGCACACCGGAAGACUAAGGUUUCCUGGUCAACGAUAAUCGGAUCAGGGUAAGUCGGGACCUAAGGCGAAGCCGAAUGGCGAAGUCGAUGGACAACUGGUUAAGAUUCCAGUACUCAUUAUAAUUGCGAUGGAGUGACAGAGUAGUGAAAGGCGUGCGUACUGACGGAAUAGUACGUUAAAGGGUGUAGAUAAAUCUGAUAUAGGCAAAUCCGUAUUGGAUGUCGAACCUGAUAGUACCUUGAUGCUUCGGCAAAGAGGAUAAUCGCUGUAACCAUACUUUCAAGAAAACCUUCUAAGCGUCAGAUUAUAAUGACCCGUACCGUAAACCAACACAGGUAGUCGAGGAGAGAAUCCACAGGUGCUCGAGUGAUUCAUGGCUAAGGAACUAGGCAAAUUAACCCCGUAACUUCGGGAGAAGGGGUCCCUCCUCGUUAAGAGAGGGCGCAGAGAAAUGGUCCAGGCGACUGUUUAUCAAAAACACAUGGCUUUGCAAAAUUUAAAGAUGAAGUAUAAGGCCUGACACCUGCCCGGUGCUGGAAGGUUAAGAGGAGAUGUCAUUCGCAAGAAGAAGCAUUGAAUUGAAGCCCCAGUAAAAAACGGCGGCCGUAACUAUAACGGUCCUAAGGUAGCGAAAUUCCUUGUCGGGUAAGUUCCGACCUGCACGAAUGGUGUAACGAUCUGGACACUGUCUCGGCCAUGAGCUCGGUGAAAUUGUAGCAACGGUGAAGAUGCCGUUUACCCGCAACGGGACGGAAAGACCCCGUGAACCUUCACUACAGCUUAGUAUUGAGUUUGGAUAAACGAUGUGUAGGAUAGGUGGGAGACUGUGAAGCAGGUACGCUAGUAUUUGUGGAGUCAAUGUUGAAAUACCACCCUUUGUUUAUUUGGAUUCUAACCUGUUGAAACAGGGACAGUGCUUGGUGGGUAGUUUGACUGGGGUGGUCGCCUCCAAAAGUGUAACGGAGGCUUUCAAAGGUACCCUCAGCCCGGUUGGUAACCGUGCGUAGAGUGCAAUAGCAGAAGGGUGCUUGACUGUGAGACAAACAAGUCGAUCAGGUAGGAAACUAGGAUAUAGUGAUCCGGUGGUUCUGUAUGGAAAGGCCAUCGCUCAAAGGAUAAAAGGUACUCCGGGGAUAACAGGCUGAUCACUCCCAAGAGCUCAUAUCGACGGAGUGGUUUGGCACCUCGAUGUCGGCUCGUCACAUCCUGGGGCUGGAGAAGGUCCCAAGGGUUCGGCUGUUCGCCGAUUAAAGUGGCACGCGAGCUGGGUU
rnacentral:rRNA from 1 species